rnacentral:lncRNA from 1 species
CACAGGCCAACCCACACUCGCGAGACCAGGGAAGCAGAGAGAAGAUGACAGUUUCUUAGUCAGGCUGGAGGGGAAUAGGGUCACGCAGGAAAGCGGUUCUGGUGUUCCGAGGGGGCAUCCCCGUGUCGGGGUGUGCAGGGGUCCUCUGGGGAGUCACAGCGCAGAAGCUGGAUCAUCCUUGCCCUGCAGGAACUCGGAGGCAAAGGUCCCCAACCUGGCUGUGCGUCGGGGCAGCUACGGGGCCCCGCCCUGAACCUGCAGAAAGCCCUAGAAUGGGCCAGUGCCUGUGAUGUCCCCAGUGCAGCAGCAGGCCAAGGACCAGUCCUGGAGGAGGCAGGGCGCUCGGCCCCACGGGAGGGGGGGCUCUCGCGUGCAGGCCCCGAUGCUCCGCAGGCCGCUGCCUUCGCCCUCUGGCUCAUCUCUGGGCGUAGGAGAGGCUGGGAAGCCUGGACGGGAAGAGGGAGCACUUUCUCCUUGACCUCCGCCCAACUACGGACCGGCCCAGGCCAGGACGUCUGUCUGUGCAAAGCCGUCAGUGCUCCAAGAGGCUCCCGGGGACCUGGUCAAAGGCUGAGAUGUUUCUAGAUGACAACAGGGCAAGUGUGGCCUAAACCAGACUCUGAUGGGUGGAAAGCGGUCCUUCAUCAGGCACUUAAUUCUGUGUCUGGACCCCUGGCUCCUUCACCGCCGCAGAGGAGCCCGCAGGGCCUGGUGCUCGGGGAUCCGGGGGGAAGCCCUCGGAUCGGCCGUCACCCAGCCCCACAGGACCCAGGCUUGGGGUCCUCUCCGCCUUCGCUUCACGUCAUUAUUAAGAGAUGAUGCAGGUCUUGGAGCACGAACCCUUUGGCUCUGGAAAAAUUAUGUGUGACACUUUACAUAUGGAUCAGGUAAUUAAUGGAUGCCCCGAUUUCCUCCACCAGAACAUAAAGCGGGUGAGGACGGCGCUCUAAUUCCAGAUAAUUAAAGAGCGAGCGAGUCGGCUGGCGCUGCUCGGGGAGGGGGGCUGCUGUCAUUAACACAGCCUCCUCCCCUCCGUCUCCACACCUCACUGCAAACCGCGGGCUCCCCGGGGGCGACGCGCUCCCAGCGCCCAGGCGCCCGCCCGCCACGUAAUUGAAGUGGCCCCGUGUGCCGCACCA